AUAUAAUUGAACUAUAUAUCAGUGAUGUGAAUAACUUACAGCUAUGCCUAGAAGGAGAGCCCUUUUAUAGAAUGAUAACAUGGUUUUGUUUGUUUUACAAAGUUGAAUUGCAUUUUGACUUUUUUUUUGCAGCACUGUAAAACAGUAGUUGUGUAAUAUAUUUAUAUAAAUUUCUUGCUUUUUCCUCCUAGCAAAUGGAGCCCAAUCUUAGUCAUUUAGAUUUAGUCCACAAUCUUAUUGUUUGUUUUCUUAAUGGUUUGUAGGCAGACUUGUUGGGAUGCCCA
rnacentral:misc_RNA from 1 species